UACGUAGGGUGCAAGCGUUAAUCGGAAUUACUGGGCGUAAAGCGUGCGCAGGCGGUUUUGUAAGACAGAGGUGAAAUCCCCGGGCUCAACCUGGGAACUGCCUUUGUGACUGCAAGGCUUGAGUGCGGCAGAGGGGGAUGGAAUUCCGCGUGUAGCAGUGAAAUGCGUAGAUAUCUGGAGGAACACCGGUGGCGAAGGCGGCAUCCUGGACCGACACUGACACUGAGGAGCGAAAGCCAGGGGAGCAAACGGG
rnacentral:rRNA from 1 species